AAAAUUUCUCAUCAUUUGAAACAGCUGUUUUCUCUACCAAACAUUCAACAUGUGUUUUAUAGUGGUGUUGAAUUUUAGUUUGUGGAGCUUCCCUGAACAAAAGAUAUUCCCGUCAUCAUACGCCAUUACAAGGGAAAGCUGGGUAGACGACAUUACAUAAAUUAUUCAAAAGAAGUUCUGCAGUCGGACCAUGAAGAAGAAGACUGUAGACAACUGUUUCCUAUGGCCAACGUAUGGAACCAGAUAGCAUCACAUACAAUGUUGAAGAUAUCCUUGUUGUUGAACUUAAAGAAAAGAAAUCAUUGGAACAUUACAUGGUAAAAAUACUAAGCUUUUGUAUUGAUGGGGACAUAUAAGUUUAAUUCUUACGAACAUCUGACAAGGGAAAAAUAUUCGGAUUCCCUGGAAUUUUAGAUGAGGCAAGCAUUCAAUGCGCAGACAUUGUUUUCAAAGCAGAUACUUCACAAGAAAGAAGAGGAGUUUUCCAUUUUUUUCAAGAUUUUACCAAAUAUUUCUGAAGUGUCUUUUAAUUUGUUUGAUGUGUGUAUUGAAGUGUUUAUUUGGCCAUCCUUUAUUUUCAUUAGGUGUUUUUAAAUUGUGAUCUAAAUGAGUUUUUUGAAGAAUUAAGUUUAGUGUUAUUCAAGUUUAUGAAACUUUUUCUAUAAAAAUUUACACUAAAUUAGAAGAAGUAUGGUACAAAAGAAGACAACGAACCACACGAUUAAAAGUUUUGACUCCUUUAUACUGUUGGAUUUUCCUACUAAGAAAUAA